UGGCGAACGGGUGAGUAACACGUGGGUGAUCUGCCCUGCACUCUGGGAUAAGCCUGGGAAACUGGGUCUAAUACCGGAUAGGACCAUGCUUUAGUGUGUGUGGUGGAAAGUUUUUUCGGUGUAGGAUGAGCUCGCGGCCUAUCAGCUUGUUGGUGGGGUAAUGGCCUACCAAGGCGGCGACGGGUAGCCGGCCUGAGAGGGUGUACGGCCACAUUGGGACUGAGAUACGGCCCAG
rnacentral:rRNA from 1 species